rnacentral:rRNA from 1 species
CGUCAAGUCAGCAUGGCCUUUAUGUCCAGGGCUACACACGUGCUACAAUGGCCGGUACAAAGCGCUGCAAGCCCGCGAGGGUGAGCUAAUCGCAUAAAGCCGGUCUCAGUUCGGAUUGCAGGCUGCAACUCGCCUGCAUGAAGCUGGAAUCGCUAGUAAUCGCGGAUCAGCAUGCCGCGGUGAAUACGUUCCCGGGCCUU